CCUGGGUUUGGAAGAUCCCCUGGAGAAGGGAAAGGCUACCCACUCCAGUAUUCUGGCCUGGAGAGUUCCAUGGACUAUACAGUCCCUGGGAUCACAAAGAGUCUGACAGGACUUUCAGUUUCACUUAGGUUUGCUAAUCUUUGGUGUUUUUGUGUUUAGAAACUUGGUAGUUUUCUUAUAAUAUCUCUGUUCUGGUAACCUGAACAAAACAAUUGCAAAGAAUCCCUGUUGUUCUGCAGACCAGCACAUCGUGAAGGCAGCACAAAGCUUUGUGGCUGGGAAACCCCAGGCUUCCUAGAGAGGACCUGAAGUUCUGUGCGCUUGGCGAGUCCCUGACGCUCACAGUGGUGUUGGUUUUGGCCCAUAGGACACCUUUAGGACAAAAAUCAGUGAAGUUAACAAUAAAUGAUUAUCAGUUGAGGCAAGAUGUAAAACUGAUUUAAAGAAUGGAGAUGUGACCAUUUUCAAGCUCAGAUGGUAAAGAAUCUGCCUGCAAUGCAGAAGACCCAGGUUCGAUCCCUGGGUUGGAAAGAUCCCCUGGAAAAAGGAAUGGUUACCCACUCCAGUAUUCUUGCCUAGAGAGUUCCACGGACAGAAAGUUUGGCAGUUUACAGUCCGUCUCAUUUGCAUGCAGAAUUUCAAAGAAUAGCCAGGAGAGAUAAGAAAGCCUUCCUCAGCGAUUAAUGCAAAGAAAUAGAGGAAAACAACAGAAUGGGAAAGACUAGAGAUCUCUUCAAGAAAAUUGGAGAUACCAGGG